UUGAGUUGAAUUGAGUUGAGUUAUUUAUUAUGCUGGUGGAUAAUAUUGGUUUAGGGUGGUAUGCAAUUACCAUUUAUUUUAGUAUAUGACAUCGGUUAAAAAUUAUUUAUCAAUAAUGCUUAUAUCAAUCCUUUGAUAUUCUUUUGAUGCAAAGAACAAAUAAUAGUAAAUGCAUAUAUGUUGUUCUAAUCUUUUAUAUUUG
rnacentral:misc_RNA from 1 species